rnacentral:rRNA from 1 species
GAUGAACGCUGGCGGCGUGCCUAAUACAUGCAAGUCGAGCGAACAGACGAGGAGCUUGCUCCUCUGACGUUAGCGGCGGACGGGUGAGUAACACGUGGAUAACCUACCUGUAAGACUGGGAUAACUUCGGGAAACCGGAGCUAAUACCGGAUAAUAUAUUGAACCGCAUGGUUCAAUAGUGAAAGACGGUUUUGCUGUCACUUAUAGAUGGACCCGCGCCGCAUUAGCUAGUUGGUAAGGUAACGGCUUACCAAGGCAACGAUGCGUAGCCGACCUGAGAGGGUGAUCGGCCACAUUGGAACUGAGACACGGUCCAGACUCCUACGGGAGGCAGCAGUAGGGAAUCUUCCGCAAUGGGCGAAAGCCUGACGGAGCAACGCCGCGUGGGUGAUGAAGGUCUUCGGAUCGUAAAACCCUGUUAUUAGGGAAGAACAAAUGUGUAAGUAACUAUGCACGUCUUGACGGUACCUAACCAGAAAGCCACGGCUAACUACGU